AGUUAUUUUAUGUAAAUAGCAUUUUUGAUUGUUCUACUUGUUCAUUAGUCAGCACAGAUGGAAUCACGAUUACAUUUUGAUGUUUCUGGUAGUUCAGUUUAUAGAUGAACAAAAAUCUGUGUCUGUUAUACCACAGAAUUGGUACAGUGAUGGCACAACCUUUUGGCCAAAUUAUAAGAGCGAUCAAAGACUCAACAAAGCAGCAAGAUAUGCUGAGGAACCAGGCCCAGACUGGACCAAGCACGAUGUUAGAGUACUAAAGUCCUACGGAGAUUACAUGUCUGCAUGGCAAGGGAUGAAGAAGUCUUUGAUUUGUCAAACUUCAGAAUUGGAUACAGAUGGUGAGGGGGAUAUAGGCAGCGUGAAAAGAGCA